GAUGAACGCUGGCGGCGUGCCUAAUACAUGCAAGUCGAGCGAACAGGCGAGGAGCUUGCUCCUCUGACGUUAGCGGCGGACGGGUGAGUAACACGUGGAUAACCUACCUAUAAGACUGGGAUAACUUCGGGAAACCGGAGCUAAUACCGGAUAAUAUAUUGAACUGCAUGGUUCAAUAGUGAAAGACGGUUUUGCUGUCACUUAUAGAUGGAUCCGCGCCGCAUUAGCUAGUUGGUAAGGUAACGGCUUACCAAGGCAACGAUGCGUAGCCGACCUGAGAGGGUGAUCGGCCACACUGGAACUGAGACACGGUCCAGACUCCUACGGGAGGCAGCAGUAGGGAAUCUUCCGCAAUGGGCGAAAGCCUGACGGAGCAACGCCGCGUGAGUGAUGAAGGUCUUCGGAUCGUAAAACUCUGUUAUUAGGGAAGAACAAAUGUGUAAGUAACUAUGCACGUCUUGACGGUACCUAAUCAGAAAGCCACGGCUAACUACGUG
rnacentral:rRNA from 1 species